rnacentral:rRNA from 1 species
AUGUCUCGCGCUUCUUGGCUCCUGACGUGCUCCCCCUGCGCCGGGCUCGCGUCGCUAGCCGCGCUCACCACCGGCCUGCUGAUACUCGGAUAUGCGUCGAGCUCCUUCCUCAGGGGUGCGGCGUAUGGGUACGAUGACCCCUACAGCCCGGACGCCGCCGACGCGGCGUCGACGGCACCGCCGGCGACCGUGCCAAGGCGCGGGGACGGGUACCCGCCGGUGCUCGCGUACUACAUCUCCGGCGGGCACGGCGACUCCGUUAGGAUGACGCGGCUGCUCAAGGCCGUGUACCACCCGAGGAACCGGUACCUGCUGCACCUGGACGCCGGCGCGGGCGCGUACGAGCGGGCGAGGCUGGCCGGCUACGUCAGGUCGGAGCAGCCGUUCCUCGAGUAUGGCAACGUGCACGUCGUCGGCAAGGGGAGCCCCGUCGACGGCCGCGGCGCGUCCGCCGUCGCCGCCGUGCUCCGCGGCGCCUCCAUUCUCAUGAGGCUUGGCGCCGACUGGGACUGGCUCGUCACACUCGCCGCCUCGGACUACCCGCUCGUAUCGCAGGACGACCUUCUCUACGCCUUCUCCACCGUGCCGAGGGACCUCAACUUCAUCGACCACAGGAUGGACUCCGAGACCGCGCCGAUGGUCGUUCUGGACCAGAAUCUCCUGCAGAACACCAACGCCGAGAUCUCCUUCUCGUCGGGGCACCGUCCAAAGCCUGAUGCGUUCGAGCUUUUCAAAGGUUCUCCCUGGACGAUACUGAGCCGGGCCUUCGUAGAGCACUGCGUGGUGGCGCCCGACAACCUCCCGAGGACGCUGCUCAUGUACUUCAGCAACGCCCUGAACCCCAUGGAGUUCUACUUCCAGACGGUCAUGGCCAACUCGGCGCGCUUCAAGAACAGCACCGUCAAUCACACCUUCCGGACCGCCGUCCCGGACGCCGCGCCGCCUCACCGGUCGCGGUACGACGCCGUGGUGAGCAGCGGCGCGGCCUUCGCGGGCCGGUUCGCUGACGACGGCGACGAGGCGCUGCUGCAGAGGAUAGAUGAGGAGCUGCUCAGGCGACCGCUCGACGGCGUCACGCCGGGACAGUGGUGCGCCGGCAGCGACGAGGAGGCCGCGGGCGAGGAGUGCUCCGUCGGGGGCGACAUUGACGUUGUCAGGCAGGGCGAGGCGGGACAGAGGCUGGCGAGCUUGAUGGCCGGCCUUGUCGGGGCCGGACCGUGA